AAGAUUAACUUGUCCUCAGGAACCCAGUGCCCCUGGCCUGCCAUGGAGAAAGAGCAAAUUUAUGAGAACCUUCACGAGCUGCUCUUCUCUAUGCUGAGGAACUGGCAGGACUGCCAGGAGGAGGAAGACAAACAGGCCGUCCUUGGGGCUAUGGCUGCCAUUCUGGAUGUUCUCCUGCAAGAGGAGCUGCACCAAGAGCACGUCUGGGAGCAGCUCCUUUGGCUUGUGCACCCAUGUCAGGAGAUCCAAGACAUCUGCAGGGUGGCCAAGGUGAGACGUUGUGCAUGGCUCAGGGUGGACAUGGGGCCUGUGCAAGUGCCACGAGGGGUCAGGGGGAUGCAGGGAGGAAGUGGGGAGCUCUUGGAGAAAGAUGAAACAGGUGUUCAAGGGAGGUCUGAGGCUUCCUGAGCUCUUCAGUCAAAGAAGAAAUGACCCGGACAGGAGCCAGGAGGGAGCCAAGAGUCCCUGGGGCUCAUCUCCUGGGGAUGGGAGGCCCCAGCACCACCACUGUGGGGCUCUGAGUGCCUGAGGAGCUCUGUGCUAACGACUGGGAGGACCACAUCCAGUUGCAUCUGAUGGGGGAGAAGAGGGCUGCUGGGUGGGAAAUGCCUGCAAAUGGUGCCCAAACACAGCUCGAUUGAGAGCAGAGACUCUCUUGGUGCUGCUGGGAGGUGGGGGGAUAAACAAGAAUCCCUAGCAGGAGCUUUUCCCUGCAGAGAAACAAUUGGGAAACAGUUUUUCCACUCCCAAGUGGCUAGAUGUGGCUUCAUCCCUUUCUUCCUCUCCUGGUCUCUCACAGAGCCUCACUCUCUUCCUGGAGGCCUUAGAGGGCACUGAGUCUGUCAUCCCAAGGGACAAGUUUCUGGACAUCACCAGUGCCGUGUUCUACCAGCUCUAUGACGACAGCAAGCAGCACAGCGAGGCUGAUCGUGCACAGCUGACCCACUGCAUCAUGCUGCAGGCCCGGAUCUGCCCAGAA